AUUUUCCCUUUGCAGUUUGCUCUGGCUUGGUAAAGUCAUUGAAUUAUUCAGAGGAAGGCUCCACAGUAUUUUUACUGUAGAAGUUGCAGCUUAGACAAAAAUCUACUUCCAUUGUCUCCAAUAAUGAAGUUUCCAGGCUGAAGCAAUAGAAAUGUCAGCGAUGUGACAUCCCUGGAAUCCAUUCUCUGUUCUGAAAGGAAAGCUAGAUUUGAGUUUUAGAUUGUUGGAGAAUGAAGAUCCUCCACUAAAGCUGCAUCACCAGGAAAAUCCACCAGAGACUCUAGGCAGUUCCGGACACAAAGGUGUUUACUGAAUGGAAUAAGUUGACUCACUGUAUACAUUCAUACAUGAGUACAUAGAAGUUCAGAUUGUAGCUGAGUGCCCAGUGCGGAGCUUGGCAGAGAGCCUAGUGAUCACUUGUGAGGUAUUAAUUUGACAAGUAAAGCUGUGAAACCCAACAGCCCCUCCUCCAGGACUCUCAGAAUAGCCUGCCCUACUUUGAGUACAUCAUGAAAAAUGCCGGGCUCUAUGAAGCACAAGUUGGAAUCAAGAUUGUGGGGAGAAAUAUCAAUAACACCAGAUAUGCAGAAAACACCACCCUAAUGGCAGAAAGCGAAGAGGAACUA
ensembl:lncRNA